rnacentral:rRNA from 1 species
AGCAGCCGCGGUAAUUCCAGCUCCAAUAGCGUAUAUUAAAGUUGUUGCAGUUAAAAAGCUCGUAGUUGAAUUUCGGGGUCAGUAGGUUGGUCAUGCCACUGGUAUGUACUGGUCUCACUGAUUCCUCCUUCCUGAUGAACUGUAAUGCCAUUAAUUUGGUGUUGCAGGGAAUCUGGACUGUUACUUUGAAAAAAUUAGAGUGUUUAAAGCAGGCUAACGCCUGAAUACAUUAGCAUGGAAUAAUGAAAUAGGACGUUCGAUCCUAUUUUGUUGGUUUUCUAGGAUUGACGUAAUGAUUAAUAGGGAUAGUUGGGGGCAUUAGUAUUCAAUUGUCAGAGGUGAAAUUCUUGGAUUUAUUUGAAGACUAACUACUGCGAAAGCAUUUGCCAAGGAUGUUUUCUAUUAAUCAAGAACGAAAGUUAAGGGGAGUCGAAGACGAUCAGAUACCGUCGUAGUCUUAACCUAAUAAACUAUGCCGACUAGGGAUCGGAUGAUGUUUAAUUUUUUAAUUGUACUCUAC